UUGCAAAUGGCUGCCAGAGUUAUUGUUGCUAUUGAGAACCCACAGGACAUCAUUGUUCAGUCUGCUAGGCCCUAUGGUCAGAGAGCUGUCUUGAAGUUCGCUCAGUACACAGGAGCCAAUGCCAUUGCUGGAAGGCACACUCCUGGUACCUUCACUAAUCAGAUGCAGACCUCAUUCAGUGAGCCCAGGCUUCUGAUUCUUACAGAUCCCCGUACCGACCACCAGGUAAACUCCUUUUCCUAAUACCACGGAUGGUUAUGUUAUGUCUUGUUCUGGAUUAACAUCUUGUAUGUGUUGUUGCAGCCCAUCAAGGAAGGUGCUUUGGGAAACAUCCCCAUCAUUGCUUUCUGUGACACAGACUCUCCCAUGAGGUUUGUUGACAUUGGUAUCCCAGCCAACAACAAGGGAAAACACAGCAUUGGUUGUCUUUUCUGGCUUCUUGCUCGCAUGGUCCUUCAGAUGCGUGGAACCAUCCGCCCUGCACAGAAAUGGGAUGUUAUGGUAAGAGGCAUUUCUUUUUGCAAAAGCUUACAUGUGUCCAUUGUGGUUUUGAUAAUGUUGGCGACAUGAAGUUGUCAAUUCAUAUUCCUACUGUUCAUGUUUGGUGUUUGACUUGUUCAUGCGUUGUUCUGUAUAGGUCGAUCUGUUCUUCUACAGAGAGCCCGAGGAGGCUAAGCCAGAAGAUGAGGAUGAGUCUGCACCUCAGGCAGACUUUGGACUACCUGCUCCUGAAUAUGGAAUGGUUGGUGGAGAGCAGUGGACCACAGCUGCGAUCCCUGAUGCUGCAUGGCCAGGUGAAGCCCAGCAGCCAAUUGCUGCUGCUCCUGCCGCUGCUUCUUGGACUGAUUCUAGCGGUGAGUUAGAUAUAACCUGAAACGCUGUUUUGGCUCAGUGAUCUCUUAGUCUACGAUGUUGAUUUUGAUUUUGGUUUAUUCUUGUGGUUACAGUUGCUCCAGCAGCAGAUGGAUGGGACACGGCUGUGCCACCCCCAACUGCUCCAGCUACCGGUUGGGAAUAAAUUUGAUAGGCUCUACAAUGUUUGGUUAUAGACAUUGUUUUUUGUUACUGUUGGGAUUGAAAAAUUAUCGAACCGCAACUUAUUUUCCUCUCGCAUCAUUCUCUCAAGACACUUAGAUUAUUAUUCUGUUCGCUUUUAUCACAAAUAUAAAUUGAGCUUCCUGUUUCUUGCAACAUUUCUCCACAUUCUCAUGGAAGUUACUUGGAAGCAGUACGAAUAUAAAGGCUAAUAUAACAUUUCUCGAAUAUAGCACAAUAUGAAAGUGGAGAUGUCUUUCAAUAUUGGCCACAAUCGAACAGGAUAGAUUUUAGCUUUCAACAUUGGCCUGAAUCAAACAGAAUAGAUUUUAUAGCUUUCAACAUUGGCCUGAAUCAAAGAGAAUAGAUUUUGGCAAUCUAAAUUACAAGGCAAAAAAACAGUAUCUCUUUCUCGAUCCACACUUCACAGUGAUGUAAGAUCAUAUCUUCACGCAGAGAAUUUUUAAAAUCAGAUUUCACGACAAUUUAAACUUCCCGAACCCAAAUUUCCAGCGCUAAACGGAUACCUUUUGCUAACAAGUUUGUACACACUUGGAGCCCGGUUUAAGAAAAACAAACCGGAAAUUGAACCAGUGGUUAUUGGCUAAGUUUUUAUUUCAUCAACUCUAAAAAUGUUAAUUUACUAGCUCCGAUAAAUUUACCACGGUCAUUGGUAAAAAUACGUGGGAUAAACAUGAGGGCAAAACAGACUUUAUAUUCGAAUUAGGGUUUCGCUUGAUAAAUUGCCGUCUCCCUCACAGUUCUUUUAGUUUCCCCUCGCCGCUCUCGUGUGAUUUACACUGCAGAAACCUAUCUCGGCGAUUAGGUCCCGGAGAAGAAGAAGAAGAAAAGAAACAGUAUGGCGACUGACUUAACUGCUAGCUCUGGACAGCUUUCCCAGAAGGAAGCUGACAUCAGGAUGAUGUGUGCUGCUGAGGUUCACCUUGGAACCAAAAAUUGCAAUUACCAAAUGGAGCGUUACGUCUUCAAGAGACGCAACGAUGGUAACUAUACAUCUCGUGUAUUUCUUUUUGCUACUUGUAUAAACAUACCAAUAUUUAUGUGUGUAUGUAGAUGAUUAGGCAUUGUGAUUCCGUGUUGCUAUUGCGGAUUUGUAUGUUUUUGUGUCUUUUGAGUUUUUGUUUCCCCAUAGAUUGUUUAUGAUCUCUUUUUGGCUCAUGCUGCUUUGUUUUAGAUGAGUUAUGGAUUUGUAGGUCGUUUUAGUUCCUCACUCUUUUAUCCCCAAAGUAGAGUUUAGCCGCUACCACGGAUCUAAGUAGCCGCUGACAAAAGCAAAAUACUUCAGCGUUGAACUCUAUCCAUUUCUGUCAACAUUUCGUCUAUUAAUAAGUCUAGAUAACUACCAAAGGGAUGGUUUGUGUCUUUUAUUGUAUUCAUGAUCACAAGAGUGGUUUUAGUGUUUACGAAGAAAUGAGUAUUUCACGGGUUUCAUUUGGUUUCUUGAUUCUAAGCUUACGAAUGGAAAACUGAGCCAAUGGCAGAUAAUCCUCUUCGAGACUGAUGUUUGACACUGUAUGGAUGCAAGUGUUUAUUUUUUUGUUACUCUUAUCGACUAGUGUUCUUACUUCUGUUUGAUUUUAUAUGCUCAACAAUGCAUAUUGCAUGUCAAUUUUGACGUUUGAUUUUCCUUUUCAGGUAUUUACAUAUUCAACCUCGGCAAAACAUGGGAAAAGCUGCAGAUGGCUGCUAGAGUUAUUGUUGCUAUUGAGAACCCACAGGACAUCAUUGUCCAGUCUGCUAGGCCCUAUGGUCAGAGAGCUGUCCUGAAGUUCGCUCAGUACACAGGAGCCAAUGCCAUUGCUGGAAGGCACACUCCUGGUACCUUCACUAAUCAGAUGCAGACCUCAUUCAGUGAGCCCAGGCUUCUGAUUCUUACAGAUCCCCGUACCGACCACCAGGUAAACUCCUUUUCCUAAUACCACGGAUGGUUAUGUUAUGUCUUGUUCUGGAUUAACAUCUUGUAUGUGUUGUUGCAGCCC
rnacentral:lncRNA from 1 species